GGGCGCGUAGCUCAGCUGGUUAGAGCACCUCCCUUACAAGGAGGGGGUCGUAGGUUCGAAUCCUACCGCGCCCACCA
rnacentral:tRNA from 1 species